rnacentral:rRNA from 1 species
GAUGAACGCUGGCGGCGUGCCUAAUACAUGCAAGUCGAGCGAACGGACGAGAAGCUUGCUUCUCUGAUGUUAGCGGCGGACGGGUGAGUAACACGUGGAUAACCUACCUAUAAGACUGGGAUAACUUCGGGAAACCGGAGCUAAUACCGGAUGAUAUUUUGAACCGCAUGGUUCAAAAGUGAAAGACGGUCUUGCUGUCACUUAUAGAUGGAUCCGCGCUGCAUUAGCUAGUUGGUAAGGUAACGGCUUACCAAGGCAACGAUGCAUAGCCGACCUGAGAGGGUGAUCGGCCACACUGGGACUGUGACACGGUCCAGACUCCUACGGGAGGCAGCAGUAGGGAAUCUUGCGCAAUGGGCGAAAGCCUGACGGAGCAACGCCGCGUGAGUGAUGAAGGUCUGCGGAUCGUAAAACGCUGUUAUUAGGGAAGAACAUAUGUGUAAGUAACUGUGCACAUCUUGACGGUACCUAAUCAGAAAGCCACGGCUAACUACGUG